rnacentral:lncRNA from 13 species
CCCGAUCAACCCCCCCCCCCUCUGCACCCUAGCUACCGAGAUGCACACGGAGACUCGAAGCAAGAAAUGCCAGUCGAGUCCUAAGAAGGCCAGCAGUGGUGCCACCUCCCAGUCCCAACCACAUCCAAAGGUGCCCCAACCCAAGAAGGAGCCCCAACCCAAGAAGGAGCCCCAACCCAAGAAGGAGCCCCAACCCAAGGUUCCCAAGAAGGAACCCAAGACCGAGCCCCAGACCCAGGUGGAAGAAGAAGACAUGCCCUCAGUACACAUCAAACCAGAACCAGAAGAGGUGGAGUGCACGGUGAGAGGAGGAUAGGAAUGGGUGAAUGAGGUGGGGUAGAGGGACAGUUAGAGGGGUGGGGAAGACUAGAGAGACACAGGGACAAAUGGUUGUAGGUGGGUAGGUGUAGAGAGAGGCUGAAAGAAAAUGGAGACCGGCUCUGUCUCUGGACUGUUAGAGAGGGUGGAGGAAAAGGUGGGGUGGUGAUGACUGGCUGGAGAGGAAAGAGUGAGAGAGAGAAGGGUGGAGAGGGUGUGGAUGGUUAGAUAAGAAGAGUAAGGGCGGGGGAGGUUGGUGGAGAGAGAUGGAGGAGGGGACCUGCAGAGUGGGUGGGGUUCAUUGGGUUAGGACUGUGCAAACUAAGAACAGAAAAUUCAGAAUAAAAUGUUGGUGUUGGUGUUGGACAGAUGAUUUGGAAUAGGGAAUUGUGGCAACUUUAAAUCAAAUCAGAGUUUAUUUGUUGUGUACGCCGAAUACUUGAAAUGGUUACUUACAGGCCCUAACCAACAGUGCAAUUUUUCAGUAAAAAAUAGGUAUUAGGUGAACAAUAGAUAAGUAAAGAAAUAAAAACAACAGUAAAAAGACAGUGAAAAAUAACAGUAGCGAGGCUAUAUACAGUAGCGAGGCUAUAUACAGUAGCGAGGCUAUAUACAGUAGCGAGGCUAUAUACAGUAGCGAGGCUAUAACAGUAGCGAGGCUAUAAACAGUAGAGAGGCUACAUACAGUAGAGAGGCUACAUACAGUAGCGAGGCUACAUACAGUAGCGAGGCUAUAACAGUAGCGAGGCUACAUACAGUAGCGAGGCUACAUAGAGUAGCGAGGCUACAUNNNNNNNNNNGUGUGUGUGUGUGUGUGUGUGUGUGUGUGUGUGUGUGUGUGAGUGGAGCCACACCUAGGCUGAUUGGGGGACCACACCUCUGUGAGGAAUCUGCUGCAGCUGGGUCACAUGUCUGCUCCUCCUCCCUCCCUCCCUCCUUCCCCACCCCCACACCUAAACAUUUCCAUAUUGCAGCCAACUCAUUCUCUCUCAAUUCAAUUCAAUGGGCUUUAUUGGCAUGGGACACAUGUUUACCUUCGGUUGUAUUUACAAUGGUGUUUGUUCUU